ensembl:lncRNA
GAUUCAGUCCCCAAGAAUAUUGAACAAGAGGAUCGCGCAGAACCUUUGCACGCGCGGAUAUUGCAAGACAUAUUAGAGUGACUUGCACUCUAUCUGUGGCGGCAUAUAUAUGCAAAUUCAUUCUCUGCCAGCAGGACGCGCUGUUGGAGUGGUUCAGUCCUUUGGGACGAGGACGACUGUCAUAUAAGGCAAAUUGUCAAGUUAAGUCUGCUCAGCUGGUGGUGGAGCUCUGGAUGAUGCCCCACAACCACAUGCCACAGGGAUUUCAAGCCUUCGAAGAAUGCACACAUGCCGUCUAGGGGUGCAGAUGCAGUGACAAACCCUCCAAUGGAGCAGUCCUUUCUGUGUGCCAAAUAACAAGGGAUUUAUACCUCUGUAACUCAUCACCAGCCCAGAGCCCAGACACACAGACUCAGGGAUUCAGAGUUCACUGGGCAGGGAUGAGACAGCGGCCUGCAUUCAUUUACAAGAUUUGCACAUGCACAAUUGUAAAGACCCUCAGAUGAGCAAGAACAGUGGCUGACAGUAAGCCCUGAAGCUACUCGGAGAGGAACUGUAAUUAGAUCAUAAGUAUUCCAUGUCUUUUUGGUAUAUUUGGAAUGGCGGCACCAAAAAGGCAUGUUGUUUUGUGAGCCCCAUGUUAUCUAAUAAGGGACUGAUUGGCAGCACAGCUGGCUGACAGACAAAAGUGGCUGCACUGGACCUGUCACAUGUGACAUGAAACGAAAUGAAUAAAGGAAUAAAACAAACAAACA